UCUUCCCUGAAGUCCGGAAUAACUCCCCGAAAGGGGUGCUAAUACCGGGUAAGACCACAGGAGCUUUGGCUCUCGUGAGAAAAGGUGGCCUCUGCAUGCAAGCUAUCGCUUUAGGAUGAGCCCGCGGCCCAUCAGCUAGUUGGCGGGGUAACGGCCCACCAAGGCUAUGACGGGUAGCUGGUCUGAGAGGACGAUCAGCCACACUGGAACUGAGACACGGUCCAG
rnacentral:rRNA from 1 species